rnacentral:rRNA from 1 species
UACGAAGGGGGCUAGCGUUGUUCGGAAUCACUGGGCGUAAAGCGCACGUAGGCGGAUUGUUAAGUCGGAGGUGAAAUCCCAGGGCUCAACCCUGGAACUGCCUUCGAUACUGGCUAUCUCGAGUCCGGGAGAGGUGAGUGGAGCUGCGAGUGUAGAGGUGAAAUUCGUAGAUAUUCGCAAGAACACCAGUGGCGAAGGCGGCUCACUGGCCCGGUACUGACGCUGAGGUGCGAAAGCGUGGGGAGCAAACAGG